rnacentral:rRNA from 1 species
AUUGAACGCUGGCGGCAUGCUUUACACAUGCAAGUCGAACGGCAGCGCGGGCUUCGGCCUGGCGGCGAGUGGCGAACGGGUGAGUAAUACAUCGGUACGUGCCCAGUAGUGGGGGAUAGCUCGGCGAAAGCCGGAUUAAUACCGCAUACGACCUGAGGGUGAAAGCGGGGGAUCUUCGGACCUCGCGCUAUUGGAGCGGCCGAUGGCAGAUUAGCUAGUUGGUGGGGUAAAGGCCUACCAAGGCGACGAUCUGUAGCUGGUCUGAGAGGACGACCAGCCACACUGGGACUGAGACACGGCCCAGACUCCUACGGGAGGCAGCAGUGGGGAAUUUUGGACAAUGGGCGAAAGCCUGAUCCAGCAAUGCCGCGUGUGUGAUGAAGGCCUUCGGGUUGUAAAGCACUUUUGGCGGGAACGAAAAGGGCUGUGCCAAUACCACGGUUCGAUGACGGUACCCGCAGAAUAAGCACCGGCUAACUACGUG